ACUAGUGGCCGAUUUCUUUCAAAAUUCUUACAGACCUUAAGGUUCAUGAGUUGAACGUACCCAGCGAGUUUUGUUCCGAUCAACAUCCGUUAACCCUUUCAAAUAGGUGCUUAAAUUUGUUUGGCCAAUGGCGGCCAUGUUUUUUGAGAUAUGCAAAUGUCCUCAUAGGUACUUGUGCCCCUUCAGACCAAGACACUGCAUACCGAUUUUCAAGUCGAUCGAGCCAACGGUUGCCUAGUUAUAGCCAUUUAUGUGUUUUUUCUAUCUUAUAGCGCCCCCAAGUGGCAGAGAUGCGCAAUUUUUUUGAUUUGACCAAAGAUUGAGCUCUUACAUAUGCGUACCGAGUUUGGUGAAGAUAUCUCAUUCCGUUCAAGAGUUAUAGUUAAAAUAGCAUUUGGCUAACGUUAGCAUAGACGCUUUUUGGUGUACUGU